GCUUACGGCCAUAUCAGCCUGGGUACGCCCGAUCUCGUCUGAUCUCGGAAGCUAAGCAGGGUCGGGCCUGGUUAGUACUUGGAUGGGAGAGCGCCUGGGAAUACCAGGUGCUGUAAGAA
rnacentral:rRNA from 1 species